GACGAACGCUGGCGGCGUGCCUAAUACAUGCAAGUAGAGCGCUGAAGAGAGGAGCUUGCUCUUCUUGGAUGAGUUGCGAACGGGUGAGUAACGCGUAGGUAACCUGCCUUGUAGCGUGGGAUAACUACUGGAAACGAUAGCUAAUACCGCAUAACAAUGGGUGACACAUGGCACUUAUUUGAAAGGGGCAAUUGCUCCACUACAAGAUGGACUUGCGUUGUAUUAGCUAGUAUGUUAGGUAAUGGCCCACCUAAGCGACGAUACAAAGCCGACCUGAGAAGGGGAUCGGCCACCCCGGGAAGGAAACACGGGCCAGACUACUACAGGAGGCAGCAGUAGGGGAUCUUCGGCAAGGGGGCGAACUCCUAACGAGCAAAGCCGCGUGAGUGAAGAAGGUUUUCGGAUCGUAAAGACCGGUUUUAAGUAAAGAACGGGUGGGGGAGUUAAAAGUUCACACUGUGACGGUACCUUACCAGAAAGGGACGGCUAAAUACGUG
rnacentral:rRNA from 1 species